UGGGGAAUUUUGGACAAUGGGCGAAAGCCUGAUCCAGCAAUGCCGCGUGCAGGAAGAAGGCCUUCGGGUUGUAAACUGCUUUUGUACGGAACGAAAAGGCUCUUUCUAAUAAAGAGGGCCCAUGACGGUACCGUAAGAAUAAGCACCGGCUAACUACGUGCCAGCAGCCGCGGUAAUACGUAGGGUGCGAGCGUUAAUCGGAAUUACUGGGCGUAAAGCGUGCGCAGGCGGUUCUAUAAGACAGAUGUGAAAUCCCCGGGCUCAACCUGGGAAUGGCAUUUGUGACUGUAGAGCUAGAGUACGGUAGAGGGGGAUGGAAUUCCGCGUGUAGCAGUGAAAUGCGUAGAUAUGCGGAGGAACACCGAUGGCGAAGGCAAUCCCCUGGACCUGUACUGACGCUUAUGCACGAAAGCGUGGGGAGCAAACAGGAUUAGAUACCCCCGUAGUCCCUGAGCGGGCUGGCAAGGCGCAU
rnacentral:rRNA from 1 species